rnacentral:lncRNA from 1 species
CUCCAUCAACCAUCUAUGAGUGGGCUCUGCUGUCUGCUUGUGCUCCAGAGCUUCCAUUACGUUCGAAGCGUGAAGCAUGUGACUCAUCCACCUAAAAGAGUGCUCCUGCUGUCAUGAAAGGUAACCCGGAAUGAGGAGAGAGAGGCCCAGAUACUGGCUAAAACCAAGCCCCUAAAUGUAUGGUGAAGAUCCUCCAGCCCCACUCAAGCCAUCAGCGACUUCAGCAACACGACAGAACAUACUUGAGAUCAGCACAAGAAUGACCCAGAUACAAGGCAA